CACUUGUAUUCAUUUAUGUGUUUGCUUUUCCUGUUUGUAAGCUUUGCUGUUUUAGUUCUUUUUCGUGAGGUAUACGCUUUUCGCCUCAGGUUUGUGACGUCACUAAACCGUGUUUAUUCUUGGUGUGCUUUUGAUACACUAUGUCUUUAUUUACGUUUGCAUAAUUCGAUAUUUUCCGAAAAUUCUAUUUUCGUGACUGUGCUCGUUCAUUUGCAUCCUCUAUUUUUUUUGUGACUGCUUCUGCAUUUUCACCUGUGCAAACUUUCUGUGACUUCAGUUUUAAUUUUGCUGUUAAUUAAUCUGUGGUCUUUUAGAGCCCAGCAUUUUCCCUGGUGAAACAUAAGGCAAGGAUUUGACGUUCUUCAACAUUUUUGGUCGGGCACAGUCUGUAAGAGUGAAAACUGCAGACAGUUUAUCAGCAGUAGCAGUGAAUCAGCCUGUCUUUUGACUGACAGCAGGAAUUGGUUGCUUCUGUAAUGAUAAAAAAAAACUGUGUGCAAAGUCUUACAGCUUUAACGUAGGGCCUUUAACUAAAACUUGCUCUUUGAUCCAAACCAGGAAGAAGGUUGACACAUUUAUUUCUAAAUUGACUUAUAACUUGCACCUGAUCAAUUCAGCUUGGUAUAUACUGUACACUAUUAAGUAAAUCUUAGAAAAGCAGGUGAUAUUAAUUUGGUGAUACUAAAUCUUGUUAUUAUUUAUAAAUGAAACAUGGAAAUUUAGUAGUAACAAUAAUAAUCUUGCAGUAAGUUUUUGCCUAUAGAAACAUAUGCUGUAAUACAAAUGUGUCUGAAGUUAUAGACAAUGCAACUUCGUACAUUAAGACAAACAGAGUGAUGUGGGAGCUUAGUUGCUAAAACGUUGGGCUACUAAUCAACUGACUACUGGUUGUAAGUUCAAAGCCCAGGUCCACCAAGCUGUCACUGCUGGGCCCUUGAGCAAGGCAAUUAACCCUUAAUUGCAGAAAAGGAAUAAAAAGUAAGUCACUCUGGAUAAGGGUCUCUGCCAAAUGGCAGCAAUGUAAAUGAACAGCAAUACACAUUAUCCAUAACUUUUAAUGUCAGAUAAUCAAGAUAACUGACAGACAUCCACAGAGCACCACUGUUGAAUAAUCUCGAGUAAUGAAGUGACAAUAAAAACCUGAUAAAUAAAUGUAAGGAAUAAGAAAUCAGUUCAUUUGUAGGCAUGGCUGAGUUUACUUUUUUUUUUUUUUACUAAACAUUUGUGAACAUCUCUAUCUGAUUGUUUUUCCCUACAAUAUUUGAUCCACACUUUAAUUUUAAAGAUCUGUGCUUUCGAACUUGACUAAUCAAAAUAAAGUAUUUCACCCAAAACACGCCCAUAUCAUGACGGCGCUCCGACUCUCAGUUCCACAAGAGUAUCCUACAUAAUGUGGAGCUGAUUAAACAUAAACUGGAAUAUAUUAUCCUCACAUGAAAUUUUAAAUUCUCUUUAGACUACAGACGACUAUGUAAUUUGUUUGUUUUAGUGUGAUGUCGCUAUUUCCCUGUCCUCAUGCAGACAUCACAUAAAAACAAUCUCAAAGUUCACCGUUUUCUGUCCAUCUGACGUAAGUGGUAACAUUUCUCCAGUAGGUGGCGGUAGAAACCCUCCACAUUUACUACAAGCUGUCUGUGUGUGUUGGCAUGGCUCUAUCAAGCUGGGCUUCUCUGUUUUCAGUAACUGAGCAAAAAUAAAUAUAAAUUAAUGCCCACUUGGUGUCUGAAAUGUCAGUCUGUCUGUAUUAAUUUCUUGUUAUCCAACUGUUGUAUAAAGCAAUAUCAUACACAAUAUCAUACUCUCAAUCACGCUGUGUAGCAAACAUCAAAAUCGCAAUCAAACGGAAUAUCAGCAUGAUUACAAAGUCACAGUUAUGUUGAUGAGAUAUGUUGACAACAAUUCUCUUGCACGUACAAUAUUGCUUCUUUAUACUACUACUCCGCGGUUUAAUACUAGAAUUGGAUUGUUCACACUGGAAUGCUCAUUCUAAAAUGGUAUUGUAUAUAUUGUUUUUAACACCACAAGGACUUGGAUGUUGGAUCCUCCAUAAAAUCAUGUGUAUGUUUUUAGAGGUUGAAGGAAACUGGAUAUCCUGUAUUUAAAUCCACAUGAAUCCCGGCAGGGCCGGCCCAAUCCUUCAGAGGGCCCUAAGCAGAAUUUUAUUUGGGGGCCCCUCUGUGCCACCAAUUUGACUAAUUAUGACUAAUUAUUUUAAUUUUGUAUAAUAAUCAUUGUCAUUUUGUAUAAUAACCAUUGACAUAAUAUACCAAAAAAAUUCAACGAUCUGUCAUUUCAUGUACUCUUGGGGGCCCCCUGGUGGCCACGGGGCCCUAAGCAGCCGCUUAGUUCGCUUAAGCCUUGGACCGGCUUUGAAUCCCGGGUGAAAAUGUGAAAAUCAAAGACAGUAACUAGAGGACCCUACAACUGUGAUGCAGCUAUAGGGUAAAUGAAUGGCUUCUAAAUGCUGUUUAUAAUUGUCCCAGGUAGUUUAUUUAAAAAAGAACUGUCAGUGCUAGCCCUUUGCUGGUCUUUUUGGUAAAGUUUAUGGAUUGGAAAGAAAAGAUCAUAUUUUAGGGAUUAUAUUACUAGGAAAGUCCCUACUCAGCAAUGCUACCUACUGCACCACCAUGCUGCCUGUUUUUACCCAUAGUCUGAAACAUAUAGCACAAAUGAUCUCCUAUAUGAUUUGUUCUUCUGUAUGAAAAACAGCAUAUAGCAGUAGCAUUUAUUUAAGAUUUUAUGUAUUACUUCACAAGUGCAACACAUUUUAUGUUGCAUUUCCCAAGAUAACAACACCACACUGGAUAUCUUCUUCUCUUUUUGUCUCAUAAAAUUAAGUACUGUAUUUAGAAUAUAACCUUUCCUCUUAAACCAUUUGUUGUAGUAAAUUUACAAAAUGAAUAUAUUUUGCUUACUUUUUAUUUUAUGGUUCAUCUUUUAUUUUCUUGCCUGUUAAUUCUAUGGGUCAGUAUAGGCAUGCAGCCUAUCAGAUUAUGCAGAUUGUGCUUUGUGCCUAAGGGGCCAACACCUUCCAGCGACCCAAACCUUGGCCCUGACCUGUUAUCCUGUGAGAUUCUGAAUCCUGCUAUAUUUCUGACCUGAUCCUGAUAUUCUGCCUGAUCUCUGCCAGCUGUCAGUACCUGUUUGACCCUGGAACCGUUUCUGGAUUAAGACUGGGAUCCUGAUUAUUUCCUGCAAGCCUGUUCUGUCUGAUACCUGGUUCAGACCCCUGCCUAUAUUAUUAGACCUGGAAUCUGUCUGCCUACCCAAAUCUGUCUGCCUGUCUUCCUGUCCGAAUCUGUCUGCCUGUAUUCUGCCUGCCUCUCUUUUACUCUAGCCAUCAGUUAGACUCUAGCCGUCCCUAGACUUCUCUCUCCUGUCUGCCAUUUUGAGAGUCCUCAUCUGUCCACCAUCUUGGACAGCAGAGAAGGCCUUGCUGGCCCUGACGGUCCGCCACUGGUAAAAAGGAUGUGCGGGGAUGCUGAAAAUCAAAAUACAGUACAGCUGGUGGAAAUAGUCUGGCCAAUCGGAAUGCCCCAUUCAUUUAAUCACAGUUGUAUGCAUAGCUGCUGGCUAUGCAUGCAGUUGGGGAAAGGGAAGCAGAAUUCUCCCAGUUCCUCGUGUGUCACUUUUGUUUUAGUUUUUCUGCAAGCUCUAUUAUGUCGCCCAAACGCUCUGUACCUUCUAAAGCUACUGGCAAGGAACUUACAUACAUACAUACAGUACUCACUGUAAAUGUUAUAUUUCUACGAAUUUACCCCAAAUCCAUCUUGCGAAAUGCUUGCAAAUGUAUUCUGUGUGUGUUUAAAGAGUGUGGGAGGGUCAUUUGCGUCCUUGGCGUCCUUGUGUCGUGGAUUUUCGUUUAUCGUGGGUGGUUUUGGAAUGUAACGGGGGAUUACUGUAUUGAUUCGCUAACAACAAAAGUGGGUGGGUCCGGAGCGCAGAAUGCUGCACCCUGAGGAAAAUUUGAAACAAGCUAAUCAGAGCUCAUCCUCAAGUCACAUGCUUUUCAAAACUUUACGGACCUACAUACACACUCGUUUGCCUGGUGCCCCGCACACAUGAACGAAAUACAGUUUUGAUUUUUUAUUUUAAAUAAAUGAUCAUAUGACAUGUGAUUGGAAUAGUAUGCCUAAAUGAUUUUAUUUCGUUAAAACAUAUAAUUAUUGUUAAAGUGUUAAAGUAGGAGUCUUCUCUGGCUAACUUUAUCAGGGCGGCACCCCAGUGCCCCCUGUUGACCGGCUGCCACUAGGGAUGGGCGAAACCACAGUUUUUUAAUACGAUACGAUAACGAUACAUUUUGUUACAAUUUUUUAUUUUGUUAAUUUUUAGAAAAAAAUUCUGAAGCAAUAUCAGCAUUGUCCUUCUGAAGCACUAUCAGCUGCAUCACCAAAGAAUUUUCAACUGGCCUUGCCUUUAUACAGAGUGCAUUUGUGCUUUUAAAACUGCAGGUGCUUUAAGAUCCCACUUAUCUAAAUCACACCACAACACCGACACAGUCAGUUGAAAACUUUCAACAUUUAAUUGUGAACUGUGUGAAUUCCGAGAGAUUUGUACUGAGAAAAGGUUUUUCAUUCACCUUCAAAAUCAUCUGAAACACAGAGAAACAAUUCAGUGUCCCUUUAAAACAAUCACCCAACCUUCAGCUCUCAUAGAAGCAGAAAUCAUAGAAAUCAUACAUUAAAGGACUUUCGAACGGUAUUACAGUCUCAGAUAGUGUUGAUAAUAAAGUGCUGUGUACCUCACAGAGCAUUCUAGAAAGUGAAUUUGAUGAAGAGAAUACAAUAGAGAAUAUUGAAGAUGUAAAUACUCAUACACUUGAACACAAGAUUGCCUCGCUUUUAUUGUGUAUUCAAACUGUAUUGCAUGUCUCAAAAAAUGCUACUCAGACAAAUGUUGAGGAACUUAAAAGUAUUUUGUUAUUCUCAAAAUCUCAUGCCCUUCAUACAAUAGAAACGAUUCUAACAAAGCACAAUAUUAACAUUGAAAGUACUGUAAUCAAAGACUUUGCAGAUUCUGUGUUUCUAACAAAUCCACUUUAAGCACCCAUAUCUGAAAAGAGUACUUUGUCUACUGACUAUAGACGAAAUCUAUAUUUUAAAGAGAGCUUUUCUGUAGUUGAACCUACAGAAUAUCUUUUGUUCACGUACCAGUCAUUCAGUUGCCUGAAACCUUGUUAAAUCAAGACAACUCUUUUUUCAUUGAAUUCACACAUGAACGUCUACCUGGAUGGUAAAGUUCAUUUCAAGAUGGAAAGUACUAUAGGUGUGGUGAAAGAGAAUUCAUUGUGUGCUCACAUUUACAUUUCCGGUCGUGCCCCCGGUACUCAUUAUUGGGCUCUAGUUUGGGGGUAUAUAAAAAGGCGUUGCAAGAACAGCCAGGUCUUGCACUAAUCCAUUUCCAGAGGUGCUGUAUGUGUCUGGUGUGUUGCAUUUUUGAUUAUCACAUGUGAAUGUUAUCGUCUAGCUAAUAUCAAUUUCCUUUGGGAAGUGGGUUUAAUCCUGGAUCUUCGUUGUACCCGAGGUUGAUGGAUAAGCAUCUCGUUGGCUGCCAUUAUACUCGUCCCUUCUAAAGAGCUGCACACUUUAUUUUCUUGUACCUCUGGAGACAACUGCUGUUGCCUGUAUGACUGACCGCCAGAUAGGUGAUGUGGUCUGCAUUGUGUGGUAGGUGAAACCUAUUUUCUUGGUGUCCGCCAUACAGGUAUGUGCUGUAUCUUUUGUUUUAAUGUCUUGUUGUAUUUUAGGUAAAUUGAUCAGCCUGUGAGUGUGCUUUCCCACGUGUCCUCGGCUUUGCAUCGCUUACAGCUUGGCUUGCAGCUUCAGCACUGCUGUUUUGCUUUUGUUUUGCUGCUGUUUUGCUUUUGUUUUGCUGCUGUUUUGCUCUAUUUUGUUUUUGUUUUCUUGUUAUUAUUGUUUUAAUUCUGCUAAUUAUCUCUUGCUUCGGUGCUAAGGCUUCGACGCUAGCAUUUGUGUUGCUGGUGCUUCGGCUUUAUUUGCUUUUCUUAAGUUUAAGGGUUUUGUUACUCUGUCCUGUGCUAAUUUCUCUCUUUUCUUUUUUUUUUUUAGGAGCUGGGGACCGGGAGAAGGCAGACUAGCUGCUCGUGUGAAGUGGUGUACCUCUGUUCAUGAAGUGUGGUGUGGCGUGGUACUACAUUUUACUGGAAACUGAAGAUGGGACAAAAGGGGGUAUCUAUUGGCAUUCUCUAUGUUUUGGAAGAUAACACCCAAACAGCAACACCAAUGAUCCAGAACAUUGCUGUUGUAUGGGAGGAGGUCGUUGUUUUGGAAGAUCUUCCAGAUACCUCUAGUGCUCUGGCAUAUCUGUUUGGCCUUCUCUAUGCUCUCAACUUUUCCUAUCUGAAAGAUUUCAAGUACACUUUUGAUACCAUUCAGAAUGUGUUCGUGGAGCUUGGGUCUGGAUGCACCUAACGUGUGCUUUCCCUUAAAAACAAAAUGUUAAACUGAAACAGUGUUGUCAAUGGUCUUAUGUCACAAACAAAGACCCAAGGUACAAUUUGAAUACUACAUCUGGGCUGUGAUUGUUUAACCAAUGUUUUCAGUUAAAUGUUUUGAAUUGAAAAGGUUUAGAUUUUAAUGUUUUAAUUUUGUCAAUACACCAAGCACUGACAUUUAGUUUUGUUUGGAAUUAUGGAAGCUGAUGUCUGAAUCAAACUGUUUGUCUGUGAUUUGUUCUAAAAGCAUUUGAAUCAAAUUUAGACAAGUAUUCCAGUGUUGUCUAGAUUUAAGUUUAAAUUAUUCAUUAACCUCUCUAUAAAGUCACUGCAUUUUUUAGAUACAAAAGUUAGAACUUGCAUAUGUGCCUGCAAAUGACAGUAUACUAAAUUGGACGAGAAGUGUUUUAUAUUACAUUUAACAUGCUCAUUGGUUAUGAUGUAAAACUUCAAAAUUGUUUUUUUUUAUUGUUGUUUUUUGCAUUUGCAGUGCUUUUUCAUCUGAAAACAUUUACACACUUGUGUAUUAUGUACUUGUUGCUUGUUUAUCUGUUGCUCCCAACUGAAAUAAACUGGAAAAGUAAUAAGUUCAUGUUUGUAAAUAGAGUUAAAAUAAUUUAUAAAUGGAUAAUAUAAUGACUAGUAAUACCUUAUUUUGCAAAUUGAAAGAUUUUCAUCCAGUGAACAGAAAAAAAUAAAUUGAUUCAACAACAGUAAUUGUUCUUUCAGUUGCUGUGACAAGAAUGUCUUUAUUAGCAAUAUAAGACAAUUAAUAUGGCAUGAACAAAGAAAUUUAGGUUAGCUGAACAAAGUAUGGUUACUGAGAAGAACUAUAAAAUAGUUGUUGAGACAAAGGUCUUAUUGCAUCAAGUUGCCUUGUUUUUUUGUUUUCUCAACAAUUUUUUUUACAGUGCACACACAAAAGAGAGAGAGAGAGAGAGAGAGAGAGAGAGAGCAAAAUGCACAGUAUUAAAGUUAGUGAUCAAAUGGGACUGCUACCAGAGCAGAAGCCAUUAAGCCUAAUAGUUUGAGGUACAGCUUAAACAGUGCGCUGUUCCCCCUUCAGAAAGCAGGCUAGACACACAUGAAACACUCCUACUGGUUUAACUAACGUGCUUUAAAUGAUACUCAGGUUGAAUCUUUAAAAAAAAAGUUUGGUAAAGCAAGAGCAAAUUGGAGUUUACAUAACUAACACGUACUCCAACAUCCAGCAUGUGCACCAUGCCUCUUUUAUUUUUUUUUGAAACUGGGCAAAUGUGCUGUUUGAAGGCAACAAAACUGUGCAUCUACUUAAGAAGAACCUUUAUGGUGGAGAAACAUCUCUGCACAACAAACGUAGGUUAGUACCUUGGAAUUGAGUGUGAAUUGUGGACUAUUUCAAUAAGAUGUCCAAAACACCUGUGUGAAUACAGAGCAUAUUUUGUUGAAGUUUGGUGGCUUGAUGAUGUUGCAUUAGUUAUUAAAUAUGGAAUAGUGGUCCCUACCUGACUCAUGUGUUACCACUGUCAGGUGUAUUGAAAUAAGGGUUACUGAGAACAAUGCAAUACUGGUAAUUAUUU